rnacentral:lncRNA from 1 species
CCCGGUGCACAGCGCUCCCCACGUUCCCCGCUCCUCCGCCUCCACCCGCCCGGCGCAGGGCGAGCCGCCGUCCGCCAGUCGGAACCCGGUGUAGGGGGAGCAGACGACGGCGGCGGGGUCGCUGCAGCGCUGCUCGGGGGUCGGCCGCGCCGCGCAGGCGGCCAGGAGGGGCUCGGAGCCGUCGCACUCGAAGGCGCCGUCCCAGAAUGGCCCCGAAGCGGCCCCGA